GCCUGCCCGGUGAUAAAAUAUUUAACGGCCGCGGUAUCCUAACCGUGCAAAGGUAGCGCAAUCACUUGUUCUUUAAAUAAGGACUGGUAUGAAUGGCGACAUGAGGAUCACCUUGUCUCUCACAGUAAGUCAAUGAAACUGAUCUCCCAGUCCAAAAGCUGGAAUACGCCCACAAGACGAGAAGACCCUGUGGAGCUUCAAAUUGCACCUCAUUACACAGCUUGAGCCUGCACUUUUUGGUUGGGGCGACCUUGGAGCAAAAUAAAACCUCCAAAAUAUUAACCUUUAGGCUACCACGCCGCGACACCACAAAAACUACUUGACCCAAUACAAUUGAUCAAUGAACCAAGUUACCCCAGGGAUAACAGCGCAAUCUUCUUUUAGAGUCCCUAUCGACAAGAAGGUUUACGACCUCGAUGUUGGAUCCGGAUACCCAAAUGGUGCAGCCGCUAUUAAAGGUUCGUUUGUUCAACGAUUAAUAAUCCCACGUGAUCUGAGUUCAGACCGG
rnacentral:rRNA from 1 species